CUCUUAAUGAACAAUCCAUCUUAUGGUUGUUCACUUUGAAGAAGAUAUGGCCAAAUUAUGGAUCUCAACUGAUUCAUGGACAGUCUAAUGGUUUGGCCAAGUGGUCAGGAAUUUGGAAGAAAUAAGAACGUUCGGGGAAGAGGUGUGUGGAUAGAACUCUCAGAAUGAGCACAAAGUUGGAAGAUUUAAAUGUCCUAUGUGAAUGUUGAACAAAAAAUACACUUUGGAUUUGCCCUGCCUACCUGCAAUGCUCUGUUACCAUCACUCCAUGGACUUCAUUUAUUGCCGUGGUAUUCUGCUCUGCAUUGUU
rnacentral:lncRNA from 1 species